rnacentral:SRP_RNA from 13 species
GGACAGGAAGCAAGCAAGCACCAACAGACCCUGGCGUGUUUCGAGGAC